rnacentral:sRNA from 1 species
GCGGAGGAAAAGAAACCAACAGGGAUUGCCCUAGUAACGGCGAGUGAAGCGGCAACAGCUCAAAUUUGAAAUCUGGCGUCUUUGGCGUCCGAGUUGUAAUUUGCAGAGGGCGCUUUGGCAUUGGCAGCGGUCCAAGUUCCUUGGAACAGGACGUCACAGAGGGUGAGAAUCCCGUACGUGGUCGCUAGCCUUUACCGUGUAAAGCCCCUUCGACGAGUCGAGUUGUUUGGGAAUGCAGCUCUAAAUGGGAGGUAAAUUUCUUCUAAAGCUAAAUACUGGCCAGAGACCGAUAGCGCACAAGUAGAGUGAUCGAAAGAUGAAAAGCACUUUGGAAAGAGAGUUAAAAAGCACGUGAAAUUGUUGAAAGGGAAGCGCUUGCAGCCAGACUUGCCUGUAGUUGCUCAUCCGGGUUUUUACCCGGUGCACUCUUCUAUAGGCAGGCCAGCAUCAGUUUGGGCGGUUGGAUAAAGGUCUCUGUCAUGUACCUCUCUUCGGGGAGAACUUAUAGGGGAGACGACAUGCAACCAGCCUGGACUGAGGUCCGCGCAUCUGCUAGGAUGCUGGCGUAAUGGCUGUAAGCGGCCCGUCUUGAAACACGGACCAAGGAGUCUAACAUCUAUGCGAGUGUUUGGGUGUCAAGCCCGAACGCGUAAUGAAAGUGAACGGAGGUGGGAACCUUUCGGGGUGCACCAUCGACCGAUCCUGAUGUCUUCGGAUGGAUUUGAGUAAGAGCAUAGCUGUUGGGACCCGAAAGAUGGUGAACUAUGCUUGAAUAGGGUGAAGCCAGAGGAAACUCUGGUGGAGGCUCGCAGCGGUUCUGACGUGCAAAUCGAUCGUCAAAUUUGGGCAUAGGGGCGAAAGACUAAUCGAACUAUCUAGUAGCUGGUUCU